rnacentral:rRNA from 1 species
AUGUAACAGGUAAGGGCUACUUAAAGGGGGUACAGCCCCUUUAAAAAAGGACACAACCUCCACCAGGGGAUAACCCCCAUACACCCAACCCCGUGGGCCUUAAAGCAGCCAUCCCUAAAGAUUGCGUCAAAGCUCCAUCAACUAAAAAAUCCCAAAAACUAAUGCGACUCCCUACAUUCAUAGCAAGCUAACCUAUGACAAUAGAUGAAUCAAUGCUAGAACGAGUAACCAGGACACCAUGUCCCCCUAAGCGCCAGCCUACACACCAUUAACAGCAAAACCUCAAUAAUAACCACCCCCCCCUCCCCCACUAUUGAACAUGUCCUGUCAAUCCAACUCAGGGGCGCACACUGGAGUGAUUAAAGUCUACAAAAGGAACUCGGCAAACCCAAGACCCGACUGUUUACCAAAAACAUAGCCUUCAGCCAAACAAGUAUUGGAGGUGAUGCCUGCCCAGUG